AGGCUUUGAUCCUGGCUCAGAACGAACGUUAGCGGCGCGCCUAACACAUGCAAGUCGUGCGAGAAAGGGCUUCGGCCCCGGUAAAGCGGCGCACGGGUGAGUAACACGUAGGUAACCUACCCUCUGGUGGUGGAUAACCUUCCGAAAGGAGGGCUAAUACAGCAUAAGACCACGGCCCCGCAAGGGGCAGGGGUAAAAGCGGGCCUCUGCAUGCAAGCUCGCACCAGGGGAUGGGCCUGCGGCCCAUCAGCUAGUUGGUAGGGUAAUGGCCUACCAAGGCAAAGACGGGUAGCUGGUCUGAGAGGAUGAUCAGCCACACUGGAACUGAGACACGGUCCAGACUCCUACGGGAGGCAGCAGUGGGGAAUCUUGCGCAAUGGGCGAAAGCCUGACGCAGCGACGCCGCGUGAGUGAUGAAGGCCUUCGGGUUGUAAAGCUCUGUGGAGGGGGACGAAUAAGUGUCGUCGAAUAGACGGCAUGAUGACGGUACCCUCUUUAGCAAGCACCGGCUACAU
rnacentral:rRNA from 1 species